rnacentral:siRNA from 1 species
UAUUCCAGGAUAUGCAAAA